rnacentral:rRNA from 1 species
UACGUAGGGUGCAAGCGUUAAUCGGAAUUACUGGGCGUAAAGGGUGCGUAGGCGGUUGUUUAAGUCUGUCGUGAAAUCCCCGGGCUCAACCUGGGGAUGGCGAUGGAAACUAGGCAGCUAGAGUGUGUCAGAGGAUGGUGGAAUUCCCGGUGUAGCGGUGAAAUGCGUAGAGAUCGGGAGGAACAUCAGUGGCGAAGGCGGCCAUCUGGGACAACACUGACGCUGAAGCACGAAAGCGUGGGGAGCAAACAGG